rnacentral:rRNA from 1 species
CCCGCUUUAAUGUGACGGAUAGUGUAAGCAUACAAUAUAUUCAAAUAUGGAAUUUAAAAAGAAAUUAUUAUCCAGUUUAAAAUUUUAAAUAAAAUAGGCAACUAUAUUUUAGUUAUUUGCUACUUGUUUAGGUUAAUUAGGUGCCAGCAACCGCGGUCAUACCUAACAAACAAGCUUAUAUUUAAGUAUUUAAUAUAUAAUUAAUUUUAAUAAAAAAUAAAUAUGUAGUGAAAUACUAUAUAUUUAGUAACCCUUAUUAAGCCAAUUUAUAAAACACCUAUGUCUAAAACUAGGAUUAGAGACCCUACUAUUAUGGGCUUACGAAAUAUUAAAUAAGAACUAAAACUUCAUAGUUCAAACUUAAAAAUUAUGGCGGCUUAACAAAACACUUAGGGGAACUUACCAUAUAAUUGAUAACCACCAAGCACUAAUCUACUUACUAUUAUAAUUUGUAUACCGUUGUCUUCGUGACCCUUUUGAAAAGAUUCAUAUUUAUAUAUAUAUAUAUUUAAUCUUAUAGAUAGACAAAUCAAGGUGCAGUUCAUGAGUAAGAAAUAAGGUGAGUUACAAUAAAAAAUAUUUCUCGGAAACAAAUAUGAAACAAGUAAUGAAGAUGGACUUAAAAGUAAUAAAAAAACAUAAACAUAAAUUGUAAAUUUGUCUUGUUAAGUGCA